rnacentral:rRNA from 1 species
AAAUUGAAGAGUUUGAUCAUGGCUCAGAUUGAACGCUGGCGGCAGGCCUAACACAUGCAAGUCGGGCGGUAACACAGGGAGCUUGCUCCUGGGUGACGAGCGGCGGACGGGUGAGUAAUGUCUGGGAAACUGCCUGAUGGAGGGGGAUAACUACUGGAAACGGUAGCUAAUACCGCAUAAUGUCGCAAGACCAAAGAGGGGGACCUUCGGGCCUCUUGCCAUCAGAUGUGCCCAGAUGGGAUUAGCUAGUAGGUGGGGUAAUGGCUCACCUAGGCGACGAUCCCUAGCUGGUCUGAGAGGAUGACCAGCCACACUGGAACUGAGACACGGUCCAGACUCCUACGGGAGGCAGCAGUGGGGAAUAUUGCACAAUGGGCGCAAGCCUGAUGCAGCCAUGCCGCGUGUAUGAAGAAGGCCUUCGGGUUGUAAAGUACUUUCAGCGAGGAGGAAGGCAUUAAGGUUAAUAACCUUGGUGAUUGACGUUACUCGCAGAAGAAGCACCGGCUAACUCCGUGCCAGCAGCCGCGGUAAUACGGAGGGUGCAAGCGUUAAUCGGAAUUACUGGGCGUAAAGCGCACGCAGGCGGUCUGUCAAGUCGGAUGUGAAAUCCCCGGGCUCAACCUGGGAACUGCAUUCGAAACUGGCAGGCUAGAGUCUUGUAGAGGGGGGUAGAAUUCCAGGUGUAGCGGUGAAAUGCGUAGAGAUCUGGAGGAAUACCGGUGGCGAAGGCGGCCCCCUGGACAAAGACUGACGCUCAGGUGCGAAAGCGUGGGGAGCAAACAGGAUUAGAUACCCUGGUAGUCCACGCCGUAAACGAUGUCGACUUGGAGGCUGUUCCCUUGAGGAGUGGCUUCCGGAGCUAACGCGUUAAGUCGACCGCCUGGGGAGUACGGCCGCAAGGUUAAAACUCAAAUGAAUUGACGGGGGCCCGCACAAGCGGUGGAGCAUGUGGUUUAAUUCGAUGCAACGCGAAGAACCUUACCUACUCUUGACAUCCAGAGAACUUAGCAGAGAUGCUUUGGUGCCUUCGGGAACUCUGAGACAGGUGCUGCAUGGCUGUCGUCAGCUCGUGUUGUGAAAUGUUGGGUUAAGUCCNCGGGAACUCAAAGGAGACUGCCAGUGAUAAACUGGAGGAAGGUGGGGAUGACGUCAAGUCAUCAUGGCCCUUACGAGUAGGGCUACACACGUGCUACAAUGGCGCAUACAAAGAGAAGCGACCUCGCGAGAGCAAGCGGACCUCAUAAAGUGCGUCGUAGUCCGGAUUGGAGUCUGCAACUCGACUCCAUGAAGUCGGAAUCGCUAGUAAUCGUAGAUCAGAAUGCUACGGUGAAUACGUUCCCGGGCCUUGUACACACCGCCCGUCACACCAUGGGAGUGGGUUGCAAAAGAAGUAGGUAGCUUAACCUUCGGGAGGGCGCUUACCACUUUGUGAUUCAUGACUGGGGUGAAGUCGUAACAAGGUAACCGUAGGGGAACCUGCGGUUGGAUCACCUCCUUA